GACGAACGCUGGCGGCGUGCUUAACACAUGCAAGUCGAACGGUGAAGGGAUCGAGCUUGCUGGUCCUGGAUGAGUGGCGAACGGGUGAGUAACACGUGAGUAACCUGCCCCCUUCUUCUGGAUAACCGCAUGAAAGUGUGGCUAAUACGGGAUAUUCUGGGUCUGUCGCAUGAUGGGUCUGGGAAAGAUGCGCCUUUGGGUGUUUUUGGUGGGGGAUGGGCUCGCGGCCUAUCAGCUUGUUGGUGGGGUGAUGGCCUACCAAGGCGGUGACGGGUAGCCGGCCUGAGAGGGUGGACGGUCACACUGGGACUGAGACACGGCCCAG
rnacentral:rRNA from 1 species